GUCCUUGAAUGAACCACAGCCCAGCAAGUCAGGCCAAGAUGCUUCUGCUCCUGGCACUCAGGGGGUUCUACCCAGGACAACGCUCUCUCUUUCCCCUCCUUGUACCAGAGCUGUAUCUCCUCCCCCAAAGGCAGAAAAGCCACCAAAAACCCAAACCCAGCUCAGCUCAGAGGAUGAAGCCAGUGAUGGGGAAGGGCCCCAGGUUAGCUCAGCAGAUUUGCAAGCCUUGAUCAGUGGGCACUACCCCACUCCCCCUGGGGAAGAUGGUGGGCCUGACCCAGCCCCAGAAGCUCUGGGUAAGUGGGUCUGUGCACAGCCCUCAAGCCAGAAGGCAACUAAUUACAACCUGCACAUCACAGAGAAGCUCGAAGUGCUGGCUAAAGCCUACAAUGUCCAGGGAGACAAGUGGAGGGCUCUGGGCUAUGCCAAGGCCAUCAACGCCCUCAAGAGCUUCCACAAGCCUGUCAGUUCCUACCAGGUACUUGGGGGUUGGGGAAGAGGUUUCCUCUUUACUCAGUAGUGGCUAGUGAUUAACUAGUGAUUAACUGUAGUCACCAAUGGGCAUCAAAUUUCGUGGUUAGGAUUAUAUAAUGGCUGGGAUUUACACACAGAGACAAACUGAUAAAAGAAAA
rnacentral:lncRNA from 1 species